GAGGGACUGGACCCAGCGCGCAACCUGGAGAGCCCCCCUGUCGCGGUCUCCACUCUCACGCCCACACAGGACACUGACCAAGCCGCGCGCUCUGAACCUCUCCCCGGCCGGUUCAUCGCCCUGUGUCUGGACCCGCCGCUCUGGACACACAACGCCCCGCUUUUACCUCUUUAUGCGGUGACCCCUGGGUGUGGGCUCCAACGAGGGCAAGGCGCUACCGGCUGGGGGUGUAGAGACAGCAGGUGUUCCAGGUGCCGGCCUCCCUGAGAGCGAGUUUGCUUUUCUACACACGGUGUCCACCUGUGUUCCUGACCCACCGACCCAUUCACUGCACGGCGGGCUAUGAGGGCUCCAGCGGCAUCCGCAGGAAAUGUUCCCGAGGGCCAGGGUGAGAAGGCUGGGCUGCUGUUGUCUGCUUGGCAUAUAAGGCUGGUAAUGUCCUUGUGCGCUCUCACUCUGUGACCUGGCAAGACGUUUCCAUAGGGCGACUGGGGCAAGGGCACUCAGCUUCUCUGUGUUAUCUGACAAUUGCAUGUGAACAUAUAACUAUCUAAAAAUUAAACAAUUAAAUGUA